GAACGCUGGCGGCGUGCUUAACACAUGCAAGUCGAACGAUGACGGUGGUGCUUGCACCGCCUGAUUAGUGGCGAACGGGUGAGUAACACGUGAGUAACCUGCCCUCCACUUCGGGAUAACCUCGGGAAAUCGUGGCUAAUACCGGAUAUGAGCACUCAUCGCAUGGUGGGUGUUGGAAAGAUUUAUCGGUGGGGGAUGGACUCGCGGCCUAUCAGUUUGUUGGUGAGGUGAUGGCUCACCAAGACGAUGACGGGUAGCCGGCCUGAGAGGGCGACCGGCCACACUGGGACUGAGACACGGCCCAGACUCCUACGGGAGGCAGCAGUGGGGAAUAUUGCACAAUGGGCGAAAGCCUGAUGCAGCGACGCCGCGUGGGGGAUGACGGCCUUCGGGUUGUAAACCCCUUUCAGUAGGGAAGAAGCGAGAGUGACGGUACCUGCAGAAGAAGCGCCGGCUAACUACGUGCCAGCAGCCGCGGUAAUACGUAGGGCGCAAGCGUUGUCCGGAAUUAUUGGGCGUAAAGAGCUUGUAGGUGGCUUGUCGCGUCUGCCGUGAAAACCCGAGGCUCAACCUCGGGCGUGCGGUGGGUACGGGCAGGCUAGAGUGUGGUAGGGGAGACUGGAACUCCUGGUGUAGCGGUGAAAUGCGCAGAUAUCAGGAAGAACACCGAUGGCGAAGGCAGGUCUCUGGGCCAUUACUGACACUGAGAAGCGAAAGCAUGGGUAGCGAACAGGAUUAGAUACCCUGGUAGUCCAUGCCGUAAACGUUGGGCACUAGGUGUGGGGGACAUUCCACGUUUUCCGCGCCGUAGCUAACGCAUUAAGUGCCCCGCCUGGGGAGUACGGCCGCAAGGCUAAAACUCAAAGGAAUUGACGGGGGCCCGCACAAGCGGCGGAGCAUGCUGAUUAAUUCGAUGCAACGCGAAGAACCUUACCAAGGCUUGACAUGCACUGGACGGCUGCAGAGAUGUGGCUUUCUUUGGACUGGUGCACAGGUGGUGCAUGGUUGUCGUCAGCUCGUGUCGUGAGAUGUUGGGUUAAGUCCCGCAACGAGCGCAACCCUCGUUCUAUGUUGCCAGCACGUGAUG
rnacentral:rRNA from 1 species